CAGACACACCCAGAACUGUGAUUCUCUAAAUUAAGCAUUUUUCAAUCCAAUCAAACAGAAAAUCAAGAUCAACCAUCACAUCCUACAAAGGUACCAGGAAUUGAACUCACGACCUUGGGCUUGCCAGGCAGACAUACUGUUAACCUCAUUAAGCAAAAAAUAAAAAAACCUACUGAAGUCACACAUCAUUACACAAAGCACUUUGAAUAAAUCAAGUCGAAAAGAGACACUUGCUUCGUAGCAGAAUGUCUAAAAGGAACUAGAGCUCCUUUCAGAAUGGCUGUAUUUUGGAAUUCUUGGUACUUUUUACAUUUAACUGUGACAAAUCCUUGCCUAUUUUCUAAUAAAGUGUUUUCAUUUGGAUAA